rnacentral:rRNA from 1 species
GCAGCAUUUUAGUUUGCUUGCAAACUAAAGAUGGCGACCGGCGCACGGGUGAGUAACACGUAUCCAACCUGCCGAUAACUCGGGGAUAGCCUUUCGAAAGAAAGAUUAAUAUCCGAUAGUAUAUUAAAACCGCAUGGUUUUACUAUUAAAGAAUUUCGGUUAUCGAUGGGGAUGCGUUCCAUUAGUUUGUUGGCGGGGUAACGGCCCACCAAGACUACGAUGGAUAGGGGUUCUGAGAGGAAGGUCCCCCACAUUGGAACUGAGACACGGUCCAAACUCCUACGGGAGGCAGCAGUGAGGAAUAUUGGUCAAUGGACGAGAGUCUGAACCAGCCAAGUAGCGUGAAGGAUGACUGCCCUAUGGGUUGUAAACUUCUUUUAUAUGGGAAUAAAGUAUUCCACGUGUGGAAUUUUGUAUGUACCAUAUGAAUAAGGAUCGGCUAACUCCGUGCCAGCAGCCGCGGUAAUACGGAGGAUCCGAGCGUUAUCCGGAUUUAUUGGGUUUAAAGGGAGCGUAGGUGGAUUGUUAAGUCAGUUGUGAAAGUUUGCGGCUCAACCGUAAAAUUGCAGUUGAAACUGGCAGUCUUGAGUACA